UGGCCGUAGCGAUCUCAUGUCCUUAAUCGCCGCUGUUCCCCAAAAUCGAAGACCUGCUUUGUUUAAAUCGCUGUUGUUUGAAGCGUGUGGGAGGACGGUGAAUCCAGUGACCGGUGCGGUAGGGCUUUUAUCGACGGGGAACUGGCACGUGUGUCAAAAAGCGGUGCAAACGGUUCUCGCUGGUGGAAAUCUACGGCCGGUUCUCGCCGGGAUUUUAACUCCGCCUUACUUCGAUAAUUCCUUCCGAUGCGGCGGCGCGUGGGAUAUGCCAAACCAGUUCUGUAACAAAUCCGAUUCUAUGUUCAUAGACGGAUCGGAACAAAUUGAGGGAAUGGAGUGGAUCAGUUCGGAGAAGAGAUGGAAUACGUCGUCGUGUUUUGGUUCGGAGACUGAGUUAUCGGAUGUAUCGCUGGGUUUGGAUAGUGGAUAUGGAUAUG
rnacentral:misc_RNA from 1 species